UAUAUGGUCAAGAAGAGAAGCGCAAACGGUGGAUGCCUUGGCAGUAAGAGGCGAAGAAGGACGUGGAAUCCUGCGAAAAGCUAUGGGGAGCUGGAAACGAGCGUUGAGCCAUAGAUGUCCGAAUGGGGGAACCCGGCUGCAGCGAUGCGGUCAUUUGCAUUUGAAUACAUAGGAUGCAAAGGCGAACUCGGGGAACUGAAACAUCUAAGUACCCGAAGGAAAAGAAAUCAAGAGAGAUUCUCCAAGUAGCGGCGAGCGAACGGGGAGGAGCCUGGCGUGAUUUAUUAUUGAACUGAGUAGAACAAUUUGGGAAA
rnacentral:rRNA from 1 species